CGCGCCGCAGCCGAAGGAGAGCAGAGAGCGACUCAAGGAGAACGUCUCAUUCGCGCAUCUUUAUUCGAACGCAUGCAUUUCAUAGAGAGUGGGAACAUAAUUGUAAAAGCUGUGUGAUGUGUGUGAAUAUCUGCUGCAGAUGAUGUGUCACGCGUGAAAAUGCUACGCUUUAUUCUGGACUGCCUGCGGCCGGCACGAGCGCGCGCUGCAGCCGCGACACGGUACACUGAUGCGCGCGGCGUUAUCUUUACGCAUCUAAGUAGCUGCAUGCCGUCUUAGUCUUUGAAAUGCAUUUUAACCGACAUCCUUCAAAAAUCAUACAACCUUUCACGUCGAGGUUAUUCAUGCACUGAAGUAAUGCCAUAAUAUGUGCAUGCACUGUAGAAGUGUGAUUCAUCAUCCUGACAUCAUCUGACACAUGGGUUGCAUAAUUUGACUGUACACAUCUUACACCGUACACACAGUAAUCUCCUGUUUGCAUGCGCGUAAUUGAGAGAAUCGUGCUGAAAUCUUGCAGAAGUAUUGGCAUUUCGGUUUGCUGCAUUAUGCAUAGCCUAUAUUGAUGUAUAGCCUACGUGAUAUAUUUUCUUUACAUGUUAUACUGUUCCAGGGACACGGAGCUUGAGGCUCAGGUCAACACUUCAGACGAUAAUGAAAUCAAGGGUCUGCAGGAUGAGGUACACACGGAACAGGAGACUCUACAGAUGGUCAAGGCUUUGCGCCGUAACACACAGCAGACCGAGAAGAUGCUGGAAGAGAGGAAGACGCAGCUGAAGGAAGAACUGCAGAUGAUCUAUGACCUCCAGAAACAGGAGAGGGAAGUGCUGCAGUCGCUGCAGGAGGAGCAGCAGGAGCUGGAGCAGACAGUCCAGCAGUAUGAUGUGGAGCUGUGUGCCGCGGCUGAAGAUCUCCUGCAGCUCCAGCGGGAAGUGGCUUACGCCAAAGCACACGCAGAAAGCCUGCAUCUACGCGUCACUCCGCUGCAGGACUUAUUCGAGGAGAUUAUACAGGUCACAGUUCGGUCACCCUUGUCUGUCUCUCUACCGGUUCACCCAAAAUGUUUUGUAAUAUUUCUGAU
rnacentral:lncRNA from 1 species